rnacentral:rRNA from 1 species
UACGUAGGGGGCAAGCGUUGUCCGGAUCUAUUGGGCGUAAAGAGCGUGUAGGCGGCCCGGUAGGUCUGCUGUGAAAACUCGAGGCUUAACCUCGAGCUGCCGGCGGAAACCAUCUGGCUAGAGUCCGGAAGAGGAGAAUGGAAUUCCCGGUGUAGCGGUGAAAUGCGCAGAUAUCGGGAAGAACACCCGUGGCGAAGGCGAAUCUCUGGACAGUUACUGACGCUGAGGCACGAAGGCCAGGGGAGCAAACGGG